rnacentral:tRNA from 1 species
GUGGCCGUAGCUCAAUGGCAGAGCACCAGACUGUGGCUCUGGGGGUUGGGGGUUCGAAUCCCCUCGGCCACCCCA